GGCGUAGUUUAGUGGUAAAACAUUAGCUUCCCAAGCUGAGGUUGCGAGUUCGAUUCUCGUCGCCUG
rnacentral:tRNA from 1 species